rnacentral:sRNA from 1 species
AACAACUAAAAGACAGUCAUAAUUACGAAACUCCUAUCCACAAUAGAAACUUGUCAAAUAAUGAAGUGACUAAUAAAACUGCAAACUAUAUGAAUGUAAAAGACAUAGAUAUACCAGUCGGAAACGAUAAUUCCCUUUACUGCAACAUACAAAAUGAAAAUGUUCACCAACAAAUCGCAAAGACAGUUGUUCUUAUAGGACAUGACAAGGGUGUUUCUCAGCACGUAGAAAUCGAUAACAUCAAACCUUAGUAUGUUUAUAUUAUAUGUAUACUAGACAUAGUUUACCCGC